AUCAAAAUAAACAUUUUUUUAUUAUAUAGAAGAAACCCUUCUACCUGGGUAAUCGUUUGAAGCCGUCAUUCACAUAUUCAACAUAGAAUCCUAAAUUCUUCCACUUAAAGUGAGAAAUUGAAAUUCCCACAAUGAAAAUUGAUUUCUCAUAAUCCUGUUUUCUACCAUUAGAAACCGAAAUCGAUUUAUCCCUUCGAUUUCACUUAGAAUUUAAUCGAUUACUCUCAGAACUAAAAUGGUUAUUGUUCCAGUUUCGAAGUCACGAAUCGUAAACGAUUAUUCUCAGAGAUGAAAUCGUUCUUGUUUGUGUUUCGAAAUCAGGAGGCGAAAUCGAUCUCUCUUGGCAGAAAUCUUUCUUGUUCUUGUUCUGAAGUCACGAAUCAGAAUCAAUUUAUCUCAGAGUUGAAAUUGUAUGCAAACCAUGGCGAUCUCUUUUCUCCGAUAACCAACUCUGGAAAUAUUAAUUGUAUUUAAUUGGGUUCUUUUGAAUCCAGUUUCAGGUUCUUUGUUACUCACGCAUGUUGUCUUCAACGGUGGUUCUGGCUAUUGCAAAUUUGGUUGGAGAAAAGAGGAGCGUUCAUUGGGGCGAACUCCUACCUUUUUGGUAAGAGUGUCUGGAUCAAUUGGAGCCCACCUAUUUACAAGCCCAUGAAUUUUAUAAGCAGGUUGAGAAGGAAAAACUUCCCGAACUAGUGGGAAGACCUUCAUUGCAGAUAUUAAAACAACUAGAGCAUCAAGACAUCAGCUUAAAGAAGCAAUCUGCCCUGCUUUAUUUGACAGGAUUUCUUAGAGAGAAAAUGCAUCGAAUUAGCUUAAAUUAGGAUCUUUGUACACAGUUCGCACACCAAAAUAGGUGAGGAGGAUGACAUAGGUGAUGAACUUCAAGAGGACGCCAUAGAUGAUGAAGAGGAUGAUGGAGAUGAUGAUGAUGAGUUCGAGAAACUUAAAUGAGUUGGAUGAUCUUCUUUUAGACUUGUAUUUAAGCAUUAAACUUAAAGAAACUAUAUUUUUUUACAUUUUGCUAAACUUAUACUCCUAAGUAUUAAACUUAUAGUAUUAAGUAAUGUUAGACAUUUUGUGUCUAUUAUGUGUAUUUGAGUUAAUAUUUGAAAAUUUUAUAAAUACAACUUUUUGGGACAUGCAAUUUAUAUUUUAAUUGUUUAUAUUAUGCAAAAUAUAGUACACAAUAUUAUAGAUACAUUUACGGGUUCUCACUAUUUCACUUUUAGGGAAUAAUUUGUAAUUGUUGUUACAUAUGACAACAUUUGAAAACUGUCCCCAUAGAGUGUUCUCACUCUACCACUUUUAGGGAACGUUUUUAAGUCGUUGCAAGUUAUAGCAACAUUUUGAAAACGUUGCCUUAGAUGACUCAGAAAAACGUCUCCUUUUUCAAUAGUUUAGGGGACGUUUUAGGAAAGUGUGGCCAAAGAGUGAAAGAAAACGUCCCCUAUUCUCUUAGGCAACGCUCGCAUAGAGGACGGCUGGAAAACGUCCCCUAUUCUCUUAGGCA